GACACGGUCCAAACUCCUACGGGAGGCAGCAGUGAGGAAUAUUGGUCAAUGGACGAGAGUCUGAACCAGCCAAGUAGCGUGCAGGAUGACGGCCCUAUGGGUUGUAAACUGCUUUUAUAAGGGAAUAAAGUGAGUCUCGUGAGACUUUUUGCAUGUACCUUAUGAAUAAGGACCGGCUAAUUCCGUGCCAGCAGCCGCGGUAAUACGGAAGGUCCGGGCGUUAUCCGGAUUUAUUGGGUUUAAAGGGAGCGUAGGCCGGAGAUUAAGCGUGUUGUGAAAUGUAGACGCUCAACGUCUGCACUGCAGCGCGAACUGGUUUCCUUGAGUACGCACAAAGUGGGCGGAAUUCGUGGUGUAGCGGUGAAAUGCUUAGAUAUCACGAAGAACUCCGAUUGCGAAGGCAGCUCACUGGAGCGCAACUGACGCUGAAGCUCGAAAGUGCGGGUAUCGAACAGGAUUAGAUACCCUGGUAGUCCGCACGGUAAACGAUGGAUGCCCGCUGUUGGUCUGAAUAGGUCAGCGGCCAAGCGAAAGCAUUAAGCAUCCCACCUGGGGAGUACGCCGGCAACGGUGAAACUCAAAGGAAUUGACGGGGGCCCGCACAAGCGGAGGAACAUGUGGUUUAAUUCGAUGAUACGCGAGGAACCUUACCCGGGCUUGAAUUGCAGAGGAAGGAUUUGGAGACAAUGACGCCCUUCGGGGCCUCUGUGAAGGUGCUGCAUGGUUGUCGUCAGCUCGUGCCGUGAGGUGUCGGCUUAAGUGCCAUAACGAGCGCAACCCCUCUCCUUAGUUGCCAUCAGGUCAUGCUGGGCACUCUGGGGACACUGCCACCGUAAGGUGUGAGGAAGGUGGGGAUGACGUCAAAUCAGCACGGCCCUUACGUCCGGGGCUACACACGUGUUACAAUGGCAGGUACAGAGAGACGGUCCCUUGCAAAACGGAUCAAAUCCUUAAAGCCUGUCUCAGUUCGGACUGGGGUCUGCAACCCGACCCCACGAAGCUGGAUUCGCUAGUAAUCGCGCAUCAGCCAUGGCGCGGUGAAUACGUUCCCGGGCCUUGUACACACCGCCCGUCAAGCCAUGAAAGCCGGGGGCGCCUGAAGUCCGUGACCGCAAGGAUCGGCCUAGGGCGAAACUGGUGAUUGGGGCUAAGUCGUAACAAGGUAGCCGUACCGGAAGGUGCGGCUG
rnacentral:rRNA from 1 species